rnacentral:rRNA from 1 species
GGUGAACGCUGGCGGCGUGCUUAACACAUGCAAGUCGAACGGGAUCCAAGGGGUGCUUGCACUUUUUGGUGAGAGUGGCGAACGGGUGAGUAACACGUGAGUAACCUGUCCUUUUCUUUGGGAUAAGCAUUCGAAAGGGUGUUUAAUACCUUAUGUUCUGUCUGCCUCGCAUGGGGUGGGUGGGAAAGGCUUUGGCCGGAUUUGGGUGGGCUCGCGGUCUAUCAGCUUGUUGGUGGGGUGAUGGCUUACCAAGGCUUUGACGGGUAGCCGGCCUGAGAGGGUGGUCGGUCACAUUGGGACUGAGAUACGGCCCAGACUCCUGCGGGAGGCAGCAGUGGGGGAAAUUGCACAAUGGGCGAAAGCCUGAUGCAGCGACGCCGCGUGGGGGAUGAAGGCCUUCGGGUUGUAAACUUCUUUUGCUCUGAACAAGGCAUGCCAGUGGGUGUGUUGAGUGUAGGGGUUGAUUAGCGCCGGCUAACUACGUG